rnacentral:rRNA from 1 species
AACCCUGAUCCAGCCAUGCCGCGUGUGUGAAGAAGGCCUUUUGGUUGUAAAGCACUUUAAGCAGGGAGGAGAGGCUAAUGGUUAAUACCCAUUAGAUUAGACGUUACCUGCAGAAUAAGCACCGGCUAACUCUGUGCCAGCAGCCGCGGUAAUACAGAGGGUGCGAGCGUUAAUCGGAAUUACUGGGCGUAAAGCGAGUGUAGGUGGCUCAUUAAGUCACAUGUGAAAUCCCCGGGCUUAACCUGGGAACUGCAUGUGAUACUGGUGGUGCUAGAAUAUGUGAGAGGGAAGUAGAAUUCCAGGUGUAGCGGUGAAAUGCGUAGAGAUCUGGAGGAAUACCGAUGGCGAAGGCAGCUUCCUGGCAUAAUAUUGACACUGAGAUUCGAAAGCGUGGGUAGCAAACAGGAUUAGAUACCCUGGUAGUCCACGCCGUAAACGAUGUCUACUAGCCGUUGGGGUCCUUGAGACUUUAGUGGCGCAGUUAACGCGAUAAGUAGACCGCCUGGGGAGUACGGCCGCAAGGUUAAAACUCAAAUGAAUUGACGGGGGCCCGCACAAGCGGUGGAGCAUGUGGUUUAAUUCGAUGCAACGCGAAGAACCUUACCUGGUCUUGACAUAGUGAGAAUCCUGCAGAGAUGCGGGAGUGCCUUCGGGAAUUCACAUACAGGUGCUGCAUGGCUGUCGUCAGCUCGUGUCGUGAGAUGUUGGGUU